CAAGGAGUCCCAGUGAUGCACCAGGAUACCUACCACUGCAUAUGUCAUUACAGUUCUUGAAGAAAAAUGGACAACAAGCCUUGACUAAGCUGUGGUUAUACUUUUGUGCAACUUUCACAGGGUAGCUAUCCCCUGUGAGUAGACUGGAUUCACUGCCCCUGUAUCAGAGCAGGUGAGACCAAUCCAGACAAUUAAAAGGGGCUUGGCUACACCUGAGCCUAUAAAGGGCUAUUAGAGGCAGCAAGUGAUAGGGCUAGUUUGUAUCUGGGAAAGGGAAGCCAGGGUGGAGCUGUGAUGAGGGUCUAGAGUAAGGGCCAGGUGUUUAGGGAGGCAGCCCCAGUACAACUGCUCCAGGAAGGGACCAGAGCUGAUAAGAAUUGGGAAGGUUCCAGGAGCAGGAUGCUGGAGGCCCCUGGGAUGAGUGGCCCUGAAGCCUGAAAGCAAAGAGCAUCAAUUCCUUAAGUUCCUCAAGAUAUAUAGCUCUCCCUUGGCUGUGCAGCCCAAGAGCGAGAGGGGAGGAAGUAGAGGAAGAAACAUAGGAACAUCAGACAUGCAAUCCUGAAUGAGAUCAGAAGUCCAUCUACUCAGUAUCCUGUCUCUGACCAUGGCAAGUAUCCUAUACUUCAGAGGAAGAUGGGCUUUCACUAAUAUCUCCUGACGAAACUUCAUCCCCUUCCACAUGAUCCUUAUACCAUGGGAGCCCCCCUGGCUUCCUUAAUUGAAGUGGCAAAAGUGGAGCAAGUGCACAAGGAAGUUUCUGCACCCCUUGUGUUCUGAAGGCUUGAAAUCAGCCAACAUGGAAGGAAUGAUGGAGGUUGCAAACA